CGCCUACGGGGCGCAGCAGUGGGGAAUAUUGCACAAUGGGGGAAACCCUGAUGCAGCGACGCCGCGUGAGCGAAGAAGUAUUUCGGUAUGUAAAGCUCUAUCAGCAGGGAAGAAAAUGACGGUACCUGACUAAGAAGCCCCGGCUAAAUACGUGCCAGCAGCCGCGGUAAUACGUAUGGGGCAAGCGUUAUCCGGAUUUAUUGGGUUUAAAGGGAGCGUAGGCCGGCUUUUAAGUCAGCUGUGAAAGUCCGCGGCUCAACCGUGGAAUUGCAGUUGAAACUGGAGGCCUUGAGUGCACACAGGGA
rnacentral:rRNA from 1 species